UCUGUCUCGCGUGAAUCAUCGAAUCUUUGAACGCAUCUUGCACUUUUCGGGUCUCCUGAAAAGUAUACUUGUUUGAGAAUCACAAACAUCCUCUCCAGGACACUCUCUUGGGAAUUGAGACUUCAAGCGCGCCUGUCGUGUCUUGUGUCUUUUAAUUGAUAUGCUGAGCGAUUCCAGGUGUGUGUGUGUGCGCGCGAUAUAUUCACAUAUAUUGCUACAUACCUCCUCCUGGAAGCCUUUACAAUCAAAUGUGAGAUAGCACUAUCGCACAAAGUAGUUGGCAGGUCAAGCUUUGCUACGCCCAGCAAGGAGGAGAAGCGAAUAAUGAGAGUUUGAGAAAUCCUUCUCUCACCGCGUCGCGUCUCCUUGCAACCAAUAACCUAGACCGUGAUCUCAAAUCAAGUAAGACUACCCGCUGAACUUAAGCAUAUCAAUAAGCGGAGG
rnacentral:rRNA from 1 species